UACGGAGGGAGCUAGCGUUGUUCGGAAAUACUGGGCGUAAAGCGCACGUAGGCGGCGCAGCAAGUCAGGGGUGAAAUCCCGGGGCUCAACCCCGGAACUGCCCUUGAAACUGCAGUGCUAGAAUCUUGGAGAGGCGAGUGGAAUUCCGAGUGUAGAGGUGAAAUUCGUAGAUAUUCGGAAGAACACCAGUGGCGAAGGCGACUACCUGGCCUGUUUCUUGACGCUGAGGCGCGAAAGCUAGGGGAGCAAACGGG
rnacentral:rRNA from 1 species